CCUACGGGAGGCAGCAGUAGGGAAUGUUCGGCAAUGGGGGGAACCCUGACCGAGCAACGCCGCGGGAACGAAGAAGUUAUUCGGAAUGUAAAGUUCUUUUAACAGGGAAGAAAGAGAAAUUGGACGGUACCUGAAGAAUAAGCCCCGGCUAACUCCGUGCCAGCAGCCGCGGUAAUACGCAGGGAGCGAGCGUUAUCCGGAAUUAUUGGGCGGAAAGGGUGCGUAGAUGGCAUAGUAAGUCUGUUGUAAAAGUGCUGGGCUCAACCCAGUAGGGCAAAAGAUACUGCAAAGCUAGAGUAUGACAGAGGCAAGUGGAACUACAUGUGUAGCGGUGAAAUGCGUAGAUAUAUGUAAGAACACCAGUGGCGAAGGCGGCUUGCUGGGUCGAUACUGACAUUGAGGCACGAAAGCGUUGGGAGCAAACAGGAUUAGAUACCCCUGUAGUC
rnacentral:rRNA from 1 species